rnacentral:rRNA from 1 species
AGUUUGAUCAUGGCUCAGGACGAACGCUGGCGGCGGGCCUAACACAUGCAAGUCGUGGGAGAAGCGGUUCCUUCGGGAACCGUGGAGACCGGCGGAUGGGUGAGUAACGCGUAGGCAACCUGCCUUUGGACCGGGGAUAACAUCGCGAAAGCGGUGCUAAUACCCGAUGAUGCAGCGGCCCCGCAUGGGGACAGUUGUUAAAGCCUUCGGGCGGCCAAAGAGGGGCCUGCGUGCUAUUAGCUAGUUGGUGGGGUAAGAGCCUACCAAGGCGAUGAUAGCUAAGGGGUCUGAGAGGAUGAUCCCCCACACUGGGACUGAGACACGGCCCAGACUCCUACGGGAGGCAGCAGUGAGGAAUCUUGCGCAAUGGGGGCAACCCUGACGCAGCCACGCCGCGUGCCGGAAGACGGCCCUAUGGGUUGUAAACGGCUUUUGAUCGGGAAGAACCUGGAGGUUUCGAUCUCCACUGACGGUACCGAUCGAAUAAGCACCGGCUAACUCCGUGCCAGCAGCCGCGGUAAUACGGAGGGUGCAAGCGUUGUCCGGAAUUAUUGGGUGUAAAGGGUGCGCAGGCGGAAGCCUACGUCGAGGGUGAAAGACGGCCGCUUAACGGUCGAAGUGCCUUCGAUACGGGGUUUCUUGAGUCCAGAAGAGGUUGGUGGAAUUCGUGGUGUAGCGGUGAAAUGCAUAGAGAUCACGAAGAACACCGGUGGCGAAGGCGGCCAACUGGUCUGGUACUGACGCUGAGGCACGAGAGCGUGGGG